rnacentral:tRNA from 1 species
UGGCUCAGUGGCAGAGCACUUGCCUUACAUGCAUGAGGCCCUGGGUUCGAUUCCUAA